GCAGACACAUUCCAGCCAAUCAGCAGCAGACCUUCCCUCCCAGACCCUCCCACCCCUGGGACAGCAUCCAUUUUGAAGCUGCAUUCUUAGUGAGCUGUCCAGGAGAUGGGAGGGUCUGGGAGGGAGGGUCUGCUGCUGAUUGGCUGGAAUGUGUCUG